AUCAAGACAAUUUGCCUAUAAAGAUUGUUUGGAGGAGCAAGGAUGUGGGGUUCUAAGAGACAUUCAAUAUGCAAUAAAGCCUGGCACACAGCUAGCAUACACUUCCCAGCUUCCUUUGAUGUCUGUUGUAGCCACAUGACUGAGCUUAGCCAAUGGAGUACGGGUGUAAGUGAUGUGAACCACACCAGCCUGGCCCCUAAAAACCUUACUCAGAGAGAGUCUGUGGUUCUGGAUACACAGAGUCUGUGGUUCUAAGAAGAUCUGUGGUCUGAAGGAGGAUGAGAACUUACAAAGAAACGUGAAUUAAAAUGGAGAGAAGGGACAAUUGGAAGCAUGUCUGAGGUAAGAAAGAGGUUUCCUGUUGUUUUCAUAAUAGCAUUCUCCAGGGACCUCUGUUGCAGCUGCAGGAGGAACCAUAUUUAAGCCCACAACAUUUGGUACCUGAAAGUGGUGUGGUUGCCCCUCUUUUCUGGUUCAAUCCUGGCCUUGUGGAAACUCCCAGCUCAAUCGACAUCCAAUAUUUAGUGCAGUUUAUCCUCUCCUCCCCUCCCACCUCAGCCUGCAGGUCUCUCCAGGCUUCACCUCAGGCUGCCCUUUCAGCUGGGAUGCUGCAGGCCCCACCCAGUCAUUGCAGGACAAGAGCAUCUUGUCUUUCAGUCUCAGUUGGAACAGCACUUCUUUUGGGAACCAUCUGAUUACCCUCAGUCGGCUUCUCCAUCAUGAUCCCUGUCAUCUGUGUUCAUUUCUCUCAAGGUUCUGACCACGCUGUCUUAUAAGCACUUGCUUUGUCUUUCUCCCUCACUAGACUGUGCACUCCUGGAAGGCAACAAGCAUGGCUUUCAUCCUUAUCUCCCCAGCCCCUGAGAGCAGAGUCUCCCCAGCCCCUGCAGCUGCUGCAACUCUGCCUGCUCCAAGAAGCUGUCUGCACUGAACCCCUGAGGUGCCCUGCCCCCAUGGUGCUUCGGGGUACUGUGUGGUUAAUCCUGGCACCCUAGGCAGAUGGGAAGCUGCUUGGAAACAGAGCCAGUUUUCCUAAUAACCGACUCACAAAAAAGCCCAGCCAAUAGAAUUCUUUGUGAAUGCCUGUGAGGAACAGGGCAGGACCAAGAUGGGCAUUGGUUAAGGAAAACUGAGCCCCUCUCGCUUUUGUCAUAUGUCCAGGAGGAGACGCUGUCUCUGAGUCUUCACGAAGAUGGGAUUAAGAGAGAAAGCAAAUUUUUGGAAGGAAAUGUUUGAGUUUUAAUGCCAGCCAUAAAGGACUUAAAUGGUCUUUUACUGUCAACCACCUCAGGAUUGCAAAAGUGGAUGAGGAAGAGGGUCCUGCCACAACCAGUGGAUCCUACCCAGGAAGAGCCCUACUUCCCCAGCUUGAGAUUCCUCUUCCUCACUCAGACAUAGACCUGGGGUGCCCUGUGGGGGAAUCUCAUCAAGACAUGUGCCUGGGAAGGAAUCUUUGUCUCUGCUCCUCAGAGACUGCAUUCUCCUCACUGAGAGGCAACAGGCAGCCAGGCUGGGGAAGCUUCUUUAUACUCUCAAGCAGCACAAGCAGGAAAUGGUGAGACCUCCACUGAGAACUGUAAGUGCAGUACAUCAUUAGAGGACAUUAAAAUAGCUGGAGAAGCAGUCUAUGUUCAUGGAUCAGGAGACUAGUGUUGUUUAGAUGACAAUGCUUUUCAACUGACCUACAGAUUCAAGUUGGUCCCCAUGAGAAUCUCAGCUAAAUUCUUUAUAGAGAUUGAGAAGCCAAUUCUAAAAUUCAAAUGGACUUGCAAGGGACCCAGAAGAGGCAAUGUAUUCUUGAAACAAAAAAUAAAGUAGUGUACUCAUACUUCCUGAUUUCA
rnacentral:lncRNA from 13 species